rnacentral:rRNA from 1 species
UCUCCGUGGUAACCAGCGGGAGGGAUCAUUA